CCCUUAGAUGCUCUGGGCCGCACGCGCGCUACACUGGUCGAUGCAACGAGUUUCUUUCCUUGGCCGACAGGCCUGGGCAAUCUUUGAACAUCGAUCGUGAUCGGGAUAGAUUCUUGUAAUUUUUGAUCUUAAACGAGGAAUUCCUAGUAAACGCAAGUCAUCAGCUUGCAUUGAUUACGUCCCUGCCCUUUGUACACACCGCCCGUCGCACCUACCGAUUGAAUGGUCCGGUGAAAUCUCCGGACUGGCGUGAGUCGGAGCAAUCUGACAAACGCCGGAAAGUUGAUUAAACCUUACCAUUUAGAGGAAGGUGAANUCGUAACA
rnacentral:rRNA from 1 species